ACUCCUACGGGAGGCAGCAGUGGGGAAUUUUGGACAAUGGGGGAAAGCCUGAUCCAGCCAUGCCCCGUGAGUGAAGAAGGCCUUCGGGUUGUAAAGCUCUUUUAGCCGGAACGAAAGAUUCGCAAUGAAUAAUUGUGAUUUCUGACGGUACCGACUGAGACAGCACCGGCUGACUACCUGCCGGCAACCGCGGUAAUACGUAGGGUGCGAGCGUUAAUCGGAAUUACUGGGCGUAAAGGGUGCGCAUGCGGUUUUGUAAGUCAGAUGUGAAAUCCCCGGGCUUAACCUGGGAAUUGCGUUUGAUACUAUAACACUAGAGUGCAAGAGAGGGGAUUGGAAUUCCCUGUGUAACAGUGAAAUGCGUAAAGAUGUGGAAGAACACCGAUGGCCAAAGCAGCUCCCUGGGUUGACACUGACGCUCAUGCCCGAAAGCGUGGGGAGCAAACCGGAUUAGAUACCCUUGUAGUC
rnacentral:rRNA from 1 species